rnacentral:lncRNA from 1 species
UAAGUCCCACGUCAACCUUUGAAAAGGCAUCGGCCUGCUACAGGAACAAAUUUUAAAAAGGAGAAAAGCAAUUAGAUGAGGCAUCGGCCGUCGUCCUGAGCCUUCCCACAUAGAUGUGUUGUCUCUUCCCCUUCCUUGCCUGUUGCGCCUGCUACACUGGAUUUGCCGCAGGGUGAGAAGACAUCACUAGUAGUUGUGGCAUGAUCACCACUUUUCGUUGAGCUGCCCCUAAAUUAAAUUUACAGCUUUUCUGUGCCAUCUGUACUGAGCAUCCUUCUCCUGCAAUGCCUGAGAGUGUACUGUUGCUCUAGCACUCGUAAUUGUCCAUAGAAUAGACAGAAGCUUACACUUGUGUGGUGUGAAUGCAGCCAAAAGAUUGAUCGAGCAGUAUCUGGGCGGCAGAGCAGUCAGCCAGAAGAGGAAGAACAACCUCAGAAGAAGCUGAGCCGGGCAACAUCAAAACAUCAGACCAUCAAGGCACAGAUACAGGAGAAGUACUCAGCAAAAAACGCUCCAGCAAUGGAGCUGGCUUCCCGAUGAGAGAAGCAUUGGAAAUUGGAAUAAUC